UCCGUAGGUGAACCUGCGGAAGGAUCAUUACCGUGAAGCGGCCAGGUUCGCCUGUGCCCGCUCUAAACCCGUGUCUACCAGCCAGUUGCUUCGGCGGGACGUGGCCCCGUCCACCGGCGGCUUCGGCCGCCGCGCGCCCGUCCGAGGAACGCGAGAACCAGCGUCACCCGCAGUCUGAGAGGAUCGAGAAACGAACAAAACUUUCAACAACGGAUCUCUUGGUUCCGGCAUCGAUGAAGAACGCAGCGAAAUGCGAUAAAUAAUGUGAAUUGCAGAAUUCAGUGAAUCAUCGAGUCUUUGAACGCACAUUGCGCCUCCUGGCAUUCCGGGAAGCACGCCUGUUCGAGCGUCAUUCCACCCCAUCAAGCCCGGCUUGGUCUUGGGCGUCGCCCCCGGGCGCGCCCCAAAAACGUCGGCGGAGUCGGGGCACCGAGCGUGACGCACUCACGGUCUCUGCGCCCCGGCCCGGCCUCACCACCCUCUAGUUGACCUCGGAUCAGGCGGGGAUACCCGCUGAACUUAAGCAUAUCAAUAAGCGGAGGA
rnacentral:rRNA from 1 species